rnacentral:rRNA from 1 species
AUCAGGGGUAAACCUGUGGAACUCGAACGAGCGAACGGGGAGAUUCAUCGUUCUCCGCGGAUCCGCGGGGCGCGUCGUACAUGUGCGGCGCUCGUCCCGCGGUCCGCGGAGUGCGUGCACUCCUCCCUCAGUAAAACACCGCGACCCGUUGCYGGGUCGACCGCGCCGUGCGAUCGUCCCGCCUCGCGAGGCGGAAUCGCGGCGUCGCGGCCCACGGGCGACGGUAAAGAACGAGGUAUGCGUCCGCCGGCGUCCGCGUUGCGGCGGCGGCUGUCCUCGCCCGGUCGGCGCGCGUCGGCCGACGAGGAACGUCGCGUCCGCCGCAUCGGCUCGGACGGGACGCGUCCCGGUCGGCGGUGGUUUGUUUCGGGCACUCACAGGACCCGUCUUGAAA